rnacentral:lncRNA from 1 species
CUGGCUCACACCCGUAGUUCCAGCUACUUGGGAGACUGAGGCAGGAGGAUCACUUGAACCCAGGAGGCCAAGGCUGCAGUAAGCCAUGAUUGUGCUACUGCACUCCAGCCUGGGUGACAGAGUGAGACCCUGUCUCUCUCAAUAAAAAAAGGGUGCAUUUUAUACUAUGUGAAUUAUAUCUCAAUAAAGCUGUUAUAAAAAUAAAGUGAAGAAAAUGAUAAUUUAAAGAGAAAGGCCAACAGCAGUACAGGGACACAUGGAUCUUUGGCAAAGUCAUAGAAGACUCUUGUGAAUGACUGAAGUUGGUUUAUAGGCUUAUGAGGAUAAAUUGUAGAUAUCCUAGUUUAACAUUGAAGACCUAUGCUUAACUCUAACUUCUUGCCCUGGCCUUCUUAAAAUGACUAUGUUGACCUUAUCCUUGUUUCUGGAACACUUAGGAAUCUUUCAAGCUGCUUUGUCUUUGCAAAUUUUGGACCUGGGAUGUCCCUUCUUUUCUUCAUCUGGUUGAACCCAACCCAGUCAAUAUGGGUGGGCUUGAGAGGGGAUGGGGCAUGUGCCAGGCACUGAGCUUGGUGCUGGUGAGACAGUGCAGAGGACUAGGACAGACAUGGUCUGGGGCCUUGGCUGGCUCCCAGACAGGGUGGGGAGACAGAUGACGACCCUGCCACACCCACACUGGGCUGCAGGAAUGCAAUAGAAGAACCUAACACAGCCUGAGAGAUCAGAGAAGGCCUCCCCAGAAAGGGAUGCUUCAGCUGAGCAGUUGGCCAGGCAAAGAAGAGGGGAGGAGUGCCCCAGAUGGAGGGAACAUUCUGGGCAAAAGCCUCAAGACAGUGUGCAGCAGGUUGGAGGAAUCCUCAGAAGGUGGGUGUGGCUGGAACACAGCCCAGAAAGUGAGGAGUGCUGAGAAACAGUCCUAGAGAGAAAGCCGGAGCCUGGGGAUCAGGGCCCUUGUAGGCCAUGCCAAGGAAUCCAGAUAUUUGCAGAGCUCAAUUAGAUUCCACAUGAGGCUAGCUGGGUGUGGUGGCGCAGCUACUUGGGAGGCUGAGGCA